AAGUCGCCUUGCACCCAAAACCGUUGAAGCUCUUAUGUGCAUGCAAGCAUGGAGUCAUGCUAAUAUGUUUGAUAAUGUCACAUCCGACCACUUUGCGAUUCAAUCUGUUCUUGAAGAUGAACAAGAAGCUAUGGAGGAAUGUGAAUCUGAAAUCACCAUUGAAGACUAAAAUGAGCAAGUGGCGUGCAGGAGGGGCG